AGGAGCAAACGAUGAGUAUGUGAAUGACGAGGACUGGCAGGCUAUAAAGGAGAGGCCCACAGCCCAGUGAGAGCUGAUAGAGGAGAAGAUAGAGAUUUUGUGCUGGAAAUGUAGGCUGGAAUGGCUCUCCCUUCUCCCUGACUGAAGGUCUCUUCCUUUUCCUGUUGCCCUGGAACUGGAGCAUAUUGCGUCUCUAAGGAGCUGGAUACACAGUUUUUCCUUCUGUCACCAGGCAAGAAGAAAUGCUUGGUCAAUGAGAACUGCUGGAGGAAAGGUACAGGUGCUGUUUCACUCCACUGCCACAAUUAAAAUUACCUAGACAGAGGCAGUACAAAGGUGCUCUUUACUCUCUUGUCCCUCCAAGCAUGGACAUCAAGAACUGGAUCCCUAGCCUGCUGACAUCAAUGGGAGCCCUUCCAUUCACCUUGUGGAGUCUGUGCCAGGCCAAGAAGGAACACAGAUGAGAGAAGGCAAUUUGGCUGUCACAUUUUCCUUUCAUCAAGAGCUUUACAUGGACAAACUCUUUUUAAUGUAACUUCUUCUGCUGAGUUGGAGAUUUUUGUCCCUGUGAAUUUCCAUUAAUAACAACAGAGGUUUGCAUGCAAUUCCAGGAUGGGUCUGAGAAUGCAGUGAAGAACUAGAGUUACGUGGGACAUGUCUGAGGUGCCAAAACAUUGUUCUAAGGGUGUGACUCUUGAGCUGUCAGCUUUCUAAGGAGGAAAUGGACUGAGUGACAGAGCCAUCUGAAGUGCUCAGGCUGUUUGCAACACAGGUGCUGGAGAAUAAGCAAAAUCACCCAUGAAAGAAGCCGUGAAGUUUGUGGUGAAAGCCAAAAUUAGAGCCAGUUCCAGAGAUGAGUGAUAACUCCAGUUUCCACAGCACCUUUGUGCACAGCUCAUGUGCUGCAAGCAUGGUCUAACAAAAGCAAAGGGAUCCGUGAUGGCAACAGGGAUUACCUCCAAGGGAGCCAAUCACUUCAGCAUUCAUCUGACAGGUUGCUGCAGAACUG